rnacentral:lncRNA from 1 species
AGAAACCCCCACUAUUCCUGGGUUUUAUGAAUUUUGGGAUGGAGUGUACAAAACAUCACCAACCUUCUCAUUUCUGUCCACCCAAGUAUUUGACAUUGUAUUGGGAAGCAAAGGUCAGGGGCUCUGUGUGAAGGCAAGAGGUCCAAACGAUUUCUCAAGGGAUCUAAGGGAACUGGACGGCCGAGAAAACGAUCAAGGGGCAGGCCCUGCAUAGGGACUGGGAAGGCAAGUGGAGAAACUAAACAGCGCUAGCCAAAAUGGUGGAAGAGAAUUCUGGGGCUGUGGC